CGGAGAUACGCACCGCGCGGGGAACCCGGGGGUCCGGGGGCCCUAACUUUUGAGUUUUGCACGCCCCGCAGCCUGAGAUGGGAAGGUAGCUCGUAGCGCUCCAAACUCACCUGCGUUUCAGAACGACAUCUACCCACUGGUUUCAGCUCCUAGAGCAACAACUGCAGAAUCUCCAUGGUCCAAAGUCCUCCAGGAAAGAGAAGAAAGGGGUGACGGGGAACACUCAAUGUCGGAACGUUCCGAAGAUGACGUCGGAGCGUUCUCGAAUCCCGUGUCUCUCGGCUGCUGCUGCCGAAGGAACAGGGAAAAAGCAACAAGAAGGAAGAGCAAUGGCGACACUGGAUCGCAAAGUGCCCAGUCCGGAGGCGUUUCUGGGCAAACCCUGGUCCUCCUGGAUCGACGCCGCCAAAUUACACUGCUCCGACAAUGUAGAUUUAGAAGAGGCUGGAAAAGAGGGUGGAAAAAGCAGGGAGGUUAUGAGGCUUAAUAAAGAAGCAUGGAAAUACGGUACCUGAAAUGGGACACACUGAGUAGAUAGGUCAUCCCAGACCAAGAUAUGCAAGAGAAGCCACAACCUGCUGCAAUUGGGCAUCAAACACAUAUGGUCGUCAUAAAUAAAUCAUAUCCUG
rnacentral:lncRNA from 1 species